rfam:Planomicrobium sp. ES2 genome assembly, contig: CONTIG000001
AUCACCUUUUAAUGAAUGUCCAGAGAGGCAUGGAAAGGUUUGGAUCAUGGGCUUGCUAUGCCCUUAUUUCCUCACACCUUCCUGCCCCUUGGAAGGUGUUUUUUUAU